AUGCCCUCCCUGCCAGCGGACAGCAAACAGGAUCCAGAUGGCCAUUCCACACUGACCAGGAUGGGCCCUAAGCUGGAACCGUCUGCCAAGGUUUCCAAAUGCAACCCAGAAACCAUCUUCUGUGGCGCCCUCCUGCUAGGACAGCGGGGUGGGGCAGGAGCGGCCAAGCCUAGGCACGGACCUGGAUGGUGGUUUUCCUCUGAGUCUCCUCAUGUGUUCCUGCAGGCUCUGGAAGGGAGGAUCCAGGAGUUACACUGCGCCGGAUAUGAUAAAUGCGGUGGCUGAGGAGAUGCACAGCAAUCUUUUUACCAUCUCGCCUUCUACUGGAUGGCACUUGGCAGCAGCAUUCACCGUAUUUUCUUAAUCGCACCUUGAAAAGACAUGAACGAGGGCUUCUAGAAUGCAGUCAAGUUCUGUUUGUGUGCUUUAAAACAUAUAGAACAGCUUUAUUAACAUAAGACUCACAAGCCGGGCGUCGUGGUGCACUCCUGUAAUCCCAGCACUCGGCAGGCUGAGGCAGGAGAAUUGCUGAGUUCAAGACCGGGCUGGGUUACAGACCAGGUCAGUCUCAACUACAUAGUGAGACCCUGUCUCAAAAAACCAAAAAAAAAAAAAAAAAAAACCCAAAAAAAGCCCCCAACAACAACCACAGAAAUAUAAUUCACAACCCAGGUGUGGUGGUGCAUACCUCUAAUCCCAGAACUCUAGGAGGCUAAGGUAGGAGGACACGAACUAUGCCCCCUCCGCCCUGGUACCAGGGAUCAAACUCAGGACCCUGUGCGUGCAAGGCAGGCACAGUGCCACUGAGCUAAACCCCUGGAGGAUAAAGACUUUUGAGUCCUCCCUAGGCAAUGGACUGAGACCCUGUCUCAAAAUAAAAAAUCAAAAGGACUGGGGAUUCAGUUCCCAGGACCACAAAUAUAAAUAUAAAUAAAUACAGUCAUAAAACAAGAUUUUAUAUAUAUAUAUCAUACAAAAUAUAUAUGUAUGAUAUUAUAUCUAUAUCGUGCCAUAAAACUCACUCAUUUAAAGUGCACAAUUGAACAGUGUCCAGUGGUCAUAUAGUUGUACGCUCAUCAUGACUCAGAAGAUUUUCAUCACCUCAAAAAGAAACCUUGUACUCGUUAGCAGUCACUCCCCGUUCUCCCAACCUCACACUGUCCCCUGGCAACCACCAAAUUGCUUUCUAUCUUUGUAGAUUUGUUUAUUCUGGAAUUUCAUGUAAGUAGACCCAU
rnacentral:lncRNA from 1 species